rnacentral:misc_RNA from 1 species
GCAAACUUGGUCAUUUAGAGGAAGUAAAAGUCGUAACAAGGUUUCCGUAGGUGAACCUGCGGAAGGAUCAUUAUUGAAUACGCUUGGGUGUUGAUGCUGGCCUUUCGAGGCAUGUGCUCACAUUCAGACUAUUUUAUCUUCACUUGUGCACCUUUUGUAGUUCUGGCUUUUCACUGGAGUUAGUGGGUUUAAUUACUUGCUAGCAAAAGUGAAAGUUGGUUCUAUGUUUUCAUAUACCCUAGUAAAAGUUAUAGAAUGUCUUUUAUUGAUUGCUUGCAAUCUUUAAACCUUAUACAACUUUCAGCAACGGAUCUCUUGGCUCUCCCAUCGAUGAAGAACGCAGC